CUGACGGAAGCUGCCUCCAGGAUCAACACCUCUCCCCUUCAUUGGCAAUCUGUGGACGCUGAACUUCCAAACUCACCAUGAAAUGCUCUUGAAGGAGAAGGCCUGCACCCACCUCCAGAGAGAUGCAGUCCUGCCUACAGAUGUUCCUGAGCAACGUAUUUGAGAUCAGCAACACAACAUUACCAGUGUAUUCCUAAGAGCACUUUGCAGAAGCCAGGACACGUGGAAACUUGAAGGCUGUUCCUUGUCUAAGUACUGGUACUCUGAAAACACUGUAUGACUGGAAAACAAAUGAACAUGGAA